AAGUUAGAUUUAUAAACCAGAAUGUUGGUUUGAUUUAUUUAUAAUAAAAUCUUCAGGAAUGUUUCUUCUGCAACUCUACCUCCACUACCUGGUCAGCAAACAUUCAUUACAGCAGAUCAAUAUUUUCUUCCUUUUGAGUUAACUUGUCAAACAAAAUGUGCCAGGAUUGUCACCAUUGCACUUGACUGUAUACAAAAACUCAUUGCUUAUGGUCAUUUUGUUGGCGAUACACCAGACUCCAUUGAACCAGAGAGGCGUUUAAUUGACAGAAUUAUCGAGACUAUUCGUACUUGCUUUACCGGUAUAAAUACUGAUGUAAACGUUCAAAUACAAAUUAUAAAGGCUCUUCUAACAGCUGUUACAUCAAGUACUGUGAAGUUCAUGAAGGAACUUUACUUCAAGCAGUUAGAACAGUUUACAACAUUUACCUUGCCAGUAAAAGUCUUAUUAGUCAAACAACAGCAAAGGCAACACUGACACAAAUGAUAAGCCUUGUGUUUCAGAGAAUGGAAAGUCAAGCUGAAAAAAAUAUGAUGCCAACACUAGCAAACUUGCUUCUCACAUUUAUCAUUAUCUCUUUGCCUGUGCUAAUCGUUCUUGGCAAUAACGACAUUCUCUGCUGUAAGGAAAAAUUGGAGACGCUAAAGUAUGGCAUUCAAAAAUGGAAGGAUAUCUGCGUUGAUGAA